CUGACCUAGAAGAAAUCUUUAAUCAGGUAUAUCUGGGAGUAUGGGCAUCUGAAGUUUCAGGAUACGAAAUAACAGGACAGCUGUGAGGACUUGGAACAGCUCGGAAGGAAGCUAUUUGUCAGACACCACGGAGAUCUACAGUUAAAGACCUUCGGACAUUCCUGGGAAUGACAGGAUGGUGCCGACUUUGGAUUCACGAUUAUGGUAUUCUGGUAAGACCCUUGUAUGAACUAUUGAAAGGAAAUCCAUCUUUUCUGAAAUGGACUGAUCAAGCUGAGGAGGUGUU